ACGCUCGACACCUACGGGUGGCAGCAGUGAGGAAUAUUGGUCAAUGGGCGCUAGCCUGAACCAGCCAAGUAGCGUGAAGGAUGAAGGCUCUAUGGGUCGUAAACUUCUUUUAUAUAAGAAUAAAGUGCAGUAUGUAUACUGUUUUGUAUGUAUUAUAUGAAUAAGGAUCGGCUAACUCCGUGCCCGCAGCCGCGGUAAUCUGAGCGGGCUGGCAAGGC
rnacentral:rRNA from 1 species